AAGAUGUUAGUAAAAUAUUACAAAGCCUUGUCGUGGCUAAAUUGUCGGUUUAAACCCAACACAUCUUAC
rnacentral:tRNA from 1 species